GAGUUUAAUCAGUUGAAUUUCCUGUGACGUGUGAAGCUGUGAUCUGUAUGUGCGGAAGGGAAUUGUAUUUCUGAUGGUCCUGUAUAGUAAAUGUAGGAGGUGGACAGUGUGCAGUCUGUAGCUUUAAGCAGUGUGGAGAGAAGAGCACAGGUGAAGCUCGUUAGUGAGAGAAAGAGAACAACAUUAGCAGUAGCGCCGCGGGACGAAGCAGCAGGUGCUGGUAACGAGGGAGAUGAGGGACUGGAGGAUGAAGAGGAGACAAGAAAUUGAGGAUGAAUGCAGUGAGGAAGAUGGGCAGGAUGUAGAAGAGAUGUGAAGUGAAGAGGAGGAAGAGCAAGACAACAGCGAGUCCAUGGAUGAAGGAGGAGGAUGAGGAAGAGGAGAAAGCUGAAUAACAUGUCAUUCCCUGUCAUAGCUAAGCCUGCACGGUGCUUGAUUUCUGAUAAAAAAGAACAGCAGACACAAGAUGCCAACAGAGCAAUUCCGGGCAAAGAGAAGAGAAGAGCAGUGAAUUCAGGUCCUGAAACACCAGCCAGCGUUCUCAAAAACUAAGGUUCUACAAAGGGAUUUUUAAAUGGGAUGUGGGUGUGAAGAACUUUUUACCCUGUGCCUAACAACUUUCAGGACCUGAUGGAGCAAAUCAAGAUCUAAUCAUAUGGAACAUCAUGCUUAUGCACUUUCUGAAACCCUGCUGAUUAAGUGUCCUAAAAGAAACAAAGUAAAGAAAAACGUUUUUGCAAAA